UACGUAGGGUGCGAGCGUUGUCCGGAAUUAUUGGGCGUAAAGAGCUCGUAGGCGGUUUGUCGCGUCUGGUGUGAAAAUCCAGGGCUUAACCCUGGACCUGCAUCGGGUACGGGCAGACUAGAGUGCGGUAGGGGACCACGGAAUUCCUGGUGUAGCGGUGAAAUGCGCAGAUAUCAGGAGGAACACCGGUGGCGAAGGCGGUGGUCUGGGCCGGCACUGACGCUGAGGAGCGAAAGCGUGGGUAGCAAACAGG
rnacentral:rRNA from 1 species